rnacentral:rRNA from 1 species
UAUGUGAUCGUCUCUCGCAUAUCAAUAAGCGGAGGAAAAGAAACUAACAAGGAUUCCCCUAGUAACGGCGAGUGAAGCGGGAAGAGCUCAAAUUUGAAAUCUUAAAGGGUUUCCCUUUACGAAUUGUAGUUUAAAGAAGUGUUUUCUGUUGAGGUUUUGGUAAAAGUUCUUUGGAAUAGGACAUCAUAGAGGGUGAGAAUCCCGUAUUUGACCUUUACUUUCAACUUUGUGAUACACUUUCAAAGAGUCGGAUUGUUUGGGAAUGCAGUCCAAAAUGGGUGGUAAAUUUCAUCUAAAGCUAAAUAUUGGCGAGAGACCGAUAGCGAACAAGUACCGUGAGGGAAAGAUGAAAAGAACUUUGAAAAGAGAGUUAAACAGUACGUGAAAUUGUCAAAAGGGAAGCGUUUGACACCAGUGUUGUUUUUCUGAAAAUCAAUUAAAGAACUGUUUAUGCUAAGCUGUUUAGACUUUAUCAGCUAACUGUUUAGUUUUGAGCUUUUCUUUAAUGCACUUUUCAGUUAACAAGUCAACAUCAAUUUCUUUUGCUGUAAAAAAGCUUGAGGAAGGUGGCUUGAGAUUCGUCUUAAGUGUUUAUAGCCUCUUGCCUAUGCAGUCGGAGAGAUUGAGGUCUGCAGCGUAGAUCCUUCGGGGCUAAAUGCAUUUGUGCUAAGUUAUAGCAUUUUAUAGACAACUUGUUGACUAUGAUUUGUCUUGUAGCUUACUCGCUUAUGUUAUUUUACCUACGCUUAGGAUGUUGAUCUGUAGUGCGUGCGC